AAAGCCUUUUUAACCACCAAUGGGAUAAUGGCGCCUACGGCGCCGACGCCCUUCUGGACAACUAGAGCGUGACCUCACGGUCGAAGGCGCCGACUAGAGUCGCCGAUUUUGGGUUGUUUCGUUUACGCACGCACUGCUAGUUUUUAAAUAAUAACUAUUUAUACCUUUACUAACUCUGACCUAGAAGAGCGAUAGUGAAGCUAUCUUUAGAUGUUUAUCUAUAUCUCUACAGCAUGGAUUUUAAAGAUUUUUUGAAAAUUACUUUUUUUUGCUAGCCUUUAAAAUGGAACAUAUUUAGGCUUAUGUGUAGGCUUUAAUAGAAUAAGAUUCUAAUGGGAAUAUUAAUGUUUAUAUGGAUAUAAAUAAUGAUUGGGUCCUGCUGGUCGAGAUGCUUCUAGUUGUGUGAAAAAACUAGUAAUGUCAGAGGUUUCUUUACCCAAUAAGGCAAUUCAUCUGCAUAAGCAAGGUAUUGUAGAGGUUAGCUGUAUAUCGUCCCUGUUGGUUGUGGAACCAUAUUUUCUCUCCUGAAGUAUUUAAAAAGUUAGUAAUAUUUCCCCUCAAGUUUAUGUGUUUAUUUCUUAUAACUCUCCAGUGUCAAAUUGAAAAGCAUGCAAGUAAGUGAGUCACCUUGUCUUAAUCCUCUUUUAAUUUUAAAUUCCAGUGAGUGUUCUCCUUCUAUCAUGACUUUACUUUUUGAGUUAUUUAAAGUCAUAUGUAUAAGUCUUGUCAGUUUGUUAGGUAUUCAAAAAUUUUGUAGAGUGUCAUAUAGAUAUUUCCAUUUGAUACUGUCAUAGGCCAUUUUAUAAUCUAAAUAGAGUUGGUGGAUAGGUAUGCUGUAUUCAAGGCAUUUUUCUAGUAUACAUCUUAGUGUGAAGAUGUGAUCAGUUGUGGAUCUAUCUGAUCUGAAAUCAGAUUAGUAGUCACCUAAGAUUUCUUCUGAGUAUUUUCCAAGCCUCUUAGUUAUAAGCCUAGACAGGAUCUUAUAAGUCACAUUUAGUAGAGAGAUUCCUCUGUAAUUGCAGCACUUUAGCUUGGAUCCUUUUUUGUGUAUUGGGAUUAUAAGAGCUGUUUCCCAUUCUGUUGGUAUUACUUCUUCUUCCCAAAUUCUGGAUAUUAGUCUGUGUAUUUGGUAAUCUAAGUCUUUUCCUCCAUAUUUAAUUAGUUCUGCUGUAAUUUGGUCCUCUCCUGGUGCUUUGUGAUUCUUCGUGGUCCUAAUUAUUUCUGAUGUUUCAAUGAGUGUUGGUUCUCUAAGGGAUCUGGUCCUCCAAUGUGACAGUUCAUAUACUUCAUUGUCCCCUCAAAGUAUUCAGCCCAUUCCACAAUCAAAGAAUUUAAAUAAUUCAACCGUUUUACUAGAAAUAGUUUUACCUUGAAUUUCAGCAAAGGAAAAUGUCAAAAUCUGUUUUCACUUGCUUGCCUGGAAAAAUGGGAAAGUUUUGUUUGAAAAGAUUUAGCAUUCACAUACAUUUCAUGUGCAUUACCUCCGAAGAAAAAAAAGUUUGAGUCUUCCACUCUUCAUUAGAAAUAUUAGUAGCAAGUCAUAGUCAAUGUCCUUCAAGGAACAUAACAAUUUCUUCCUUGAAAUCCUAUAUUCUUCUCAAUAUCUUGUCCAUGCUAAGCCAGCGGACACUACUGUGGUACCGAACAUUGGAAUGUUUUAUUUCCAAAUCUUCAAGUACUUCUCUGAGUUUGAAUCUUUAACUGGAUCUUUAAAAUAUUGCAAAUAAGAAUUUAUGCUACGUUUAGUUUAGGCUUUUUAGAAUGAUGUGUAGAGACUAUUUCUUUCACCUCUUCAUCCUAACUGAUAAGAAUCAGAAAUUUCAAUAAUUUAUAUAGAUAUUUAAAAUUAGUUAUUUUUUAUAUAUUUGCAUUCUUUAUAUGUAUAAUCUAUGAGCUCACCUAAUUUCUGUAGGUAUGCGCGGGUCGCAUAAAACAGUUAGGUGGGCCUCAUGUGGCCUGUGGGCCGUAAUUUGCACACCUCUGAUCUAGUAUAUCCGAUCCAUGUCUCUUAUCUAUGAGUAUAUGAUCUAUUUGAUUCUGGGUGUUAAAUAGAGUGAGAUCCAGGUUACCUUGUGAAUACUCUCAUGUUAAAAUUUAGUGUUGCAGAUAGACAUUCCUUUUCCUGAUGCAAAAUUCACUAAUCUUAUGCCAUUAUUGUUGGACUAUUCAUGUAAGCUUUCUUUGCCAAUUGUUGGUCUGUAUGCUGGUUCUUUGCCAAUUGUUGGUCUGUAUGCUG